rnacentral:rRNA from 1 species
AUUGAACGCUGGCGGCAGGCUUAACACAUGCAAGUCGAGCGGAGAUGAGGUGCUUGCACCUUAUCUUAGCGGCGGACGGGUGAGUAAUGCUUAGGAAUCUGCCUAUUAGUGGGGGACAACAUUCCGAAAGGAAUGCUAAUACCGCAUACGUCCUACGGGAGAAAGCAGGGGAUCUUCGGACCUUGCGCUAAUAGAUGAGCCUAAGUCGGAUUAGCUAGUUGGUGGGGUAAAGGCCUACCAAGGCGACGAUCUGUAGCGGGUCUGAGAGGAUGAUCCGCCACACUGGGACUGAGACACGGCCCAGACUCCUACGGGAGGCAGCAGUGGGGAAUAUUGGACAAUGGGGGGAACCCUGAUCCAGCCAUGCUGCGUGUGUGAAGAAGGCCUUAUGGUUGUAAAGCACUUUAAGCGAGGAGGAGGCUACUGGGACUAAUACUCUUGGAUAGUGGACGUUACUCGCAGAAUAAGCACCGGCUAACUCUGUGCCAGCCGCCGCGGUAACAC